AUUGAACGCUGGCGGAAUGCUUUACACAUGCAAGUCGAACGGCAGCACGGACUUCGGUCUGGUGGCGAGUGGCGAACGGGUGAGUAAUACAUCGGAACGUGCCCAGUCGGGGGGGAUAACGUAGCGAAAGCUACGCUAAUACCGCAUACGAUCUAAGGAUGAAAGCGGGGGAUCGCACGACCUCGCGCGAUUGGAGGGGCCGAUGGCAGAUUAGGUAGUGGGUGGGGUAAAGGCUCACCAAGCCGACGAUCUGUAGCUGGUCUGAGAGGACGACCAGCCACACUGGGACUGAGACACGGCCCAGACUCCUACGGGAGGCAGCAGUGGGGAAUUUUGGACAAUGGGCGCAAGCCUGAUCCAGCCAUUCCGCGUGCAGGAUGAAGGCCCUCGGGUUGUAAACUGCUUUUGUACGGAACGAAAAGGCUCUGGUUAAUACCCGGGGCUCAUGACGGUACCGUAAGAAUAAGCACCGGCUAACUACGUGCCAGCCGCCGCAGUAA
rnacentral:rRNA from 1 species